UGGGUGGGACCUGUUUUUAGUGUGUCCAAAGAAGAAGAUUGUGUUAUUUACUGGUCUAAUCAUCAAAUGCUGCUUAUUCAGCAUUCCAGUGUGCUGUGAUGAAAUCGGGCCAUGUCACCUGUGCAGGCCAACCAAGGACCAGUCAGCUCAAUGUGAGGGUAACUUCAUUUACAAUUUUUCCACCAUAGAGAAGCCCCAAUCCAAGCAUAAGAAAUGCAAGCUGGUCACUAGGGGACGUUCAACUUCCCCAGCCAAAGGAGCCCGGAUCAGGACACAAAUAAGUCCAGGCCCCACCAUUCCACAGAAUGCCAGAUCCCAGGAAGCUCCCGGCUGGCACAGUCUGGCUGGCCAACCACCCCUGGAGCCCAGGCGGUCUCAUUUCCAGCAGGUCGGUUGAGGUGGCUAAGGGACAAGGCACUAGGCAACAACCAAUCAGGUGCCAACAGACAAGCAGUGAUAACCACCUGCCAAUCAGCGGGGUCUCCUGACUGAUCCUGGAAAGACAUGGAGCUCAGCAAGAUCCCCGGCCAACCCCAGGAGGACAAAGAUCCUAAAAACCUCCCUUCCUGCCCUAAGCCCAAUAAAAUUCCAGUCCGGCUGAGCCUGGGUACGACUCCCCCGGACCCCCUCUGUUGGACAGAAGGGUCUCUUUCGGGAGUGAAUCUCAAUAAUCUGCCUCCUUUUGGUCACCGGCGCCUGACCUUACACUUUUCACUUAA